GUCACGAUAGCUCAAAUGGUUAGAGCAUCAGCGUUUUGAGCCGAAGGUCGUCGGUUCGAAUCCCGCUCGUGACG
rnacentral:tRNA from 1 species